rnacentral:sRNA from 1 species
AUAAAUACUAUAUAUCAAGCUGUGACUGAAGAGAAGGCUAAUGAGUUAAUUGCCCGACCUUAAGUUAUUUACAUACAAGUAAAUAUGUAUAACGACACUCCAAGGUAACUUUUUUACUUUUGAGAAUUAUAAAAUCAAUCGGUUUAUCCAUAAUUUAAGAGUGGAGUUUCUACUAUACAGUAAAAAUUGUAAAUUUAUACAAACUUCCUGAUAAAAAAAAUUCUUGCUACACGAUAAACGCCUAAUUUGAAUUCAAACUGCAAUAAAAAUCAUUGAAUAGUGUUGAUACAUCUUGCAAUUAUACUGAUUUGUGUGCUGGUUUAUGUCGUAAGAAGAAACUAUAAAAUGGUUGAUCAACCGUAUCCUGAGAGUAGGGGCAUUCAGCAUGCACUUUCCUAAUUACUUACCAUGCAUAAUUAACAGCCAUAUCCAGGGUUUUAUUAAGCCCCUGUGAAUGGCACUUUGUACAAUUCCCUGCUAGUCUUCUCUAAAUGGAGUAGAAAGUUCAAGAAGUGUUGGUGCGAGUUUCAAUCGAACAUGCUUGAUGGUUUCAUCAAUUUUCGUAGAUUUAAGGAGAAACAAGGCUUCAAGAAUACAUAAAUUCGUAGACAAUGAACUAUUCAAUGCAAUAUUUUAUUAAAAAUGAAUUCAAUUUCGUGGACUAACUAAACAACGAUAUUCACGAACAUUAGCAUUCAACGAAUACUGGUGAAACCACAGUGGAACAUUACCGCAUUAUGGGAUGUAUAGUACUAUUAGUAUUACAUUUGCUCAUUACAUGUACUUGUACCUUUCUGUCAGUGUAUGGACGUCCCUGUUUUUAUACAAAGUCUGUUGUUUUGUAAUACACUUUAUGAUGACUACCACAUGAUAUUUAUAACUUAAAUUUAUACAUUCAUUUGUAUUUUGAUAAUAAAACAUUCAAAUCGUG